GAAAUGCGAUAAGUAAUGUGAAUUGCAGAAUUCAGUGAAUCAUCGAAUCUUUGAACGCACCUUGCGCUCCUUGGUAUUCCUUGGAGCAUGCCUGUUUGAGUAUCAUGAAAUCUUCAAAGUAAAUCUUUUGUUAACUCAAUUGGUUUCUACUUUGGUAUUGGAGGUCUUUGCAGCUUCACACCUGCUCCUCUUUGUUCAUUAGCUGGAUCUCAGUGUUAUGCUUGGUUCCACUCGGCGUGAUAAGUUAUCUAUCGCUGAGGACACUGUAAAAGGUGGCCAAGGUAAAUGCAGAUGAGCCGCUUCUAAUAGUCCAUUGACUUGGACAAUACUUUUAUGAUCUGAUCUCAAAUCAGGUAGGACUACCCGCUGAACUUAAGC
rnacentral:misc_RNA from 1 species